AAAAAAAAACGAAAAAAA
rnacentral:sRNA from 1 species